GAUGAACGCUAGCAGCAGGCCUAAUACAUGCAAGUCGAGGGGUAGAAGAGGCUUGCUUCUUUGAGACCGGCGCACGGGUGCGUAACGCGUAUGCAACCUACCUUCAUCUGGGGGAUAGCCCGGAGAAAUCCGGAUUAAUACCGCAUAAAAUCACAGGAUGGCAUUAUCCAAUGAUCAAACAUUUAUGGGAUGGAGAUGGGCAUGCGUGUCAUUAGCUAGUUGGCGGGGUAACGGCCCACCAAGGCGACGAUGACUAGGGGAUCUGAGAGGAUGCCCCCCCACACUGGUACGGAGACACGGACCAGACUCCUACAGGAGGCAGCAGUAAGGAAUAUUGGUCAAUGGAGGCAACUCUGAACCAGCCAUGCCGCGUGCAGGAAGACUGCCCUAUGGGUUAUAAACUGCUUUUAUUCGGGAAUAAACCUUAUUACGUGUAAUAAGCUGAAUGUACCGAAGGAAUAAGGAUCGGCUAACUCCGUGCCAGCAGCCGCCGUAA
rnacentral:rRNA from 1 species